ensembl:miRNA mir206-1 microRNA 206-1
GAAUGUUGCCUCUUGUGAAGACAUGCUUCCUUAUAUGCCCAUAUUAAUGCUCAAGUUAUGGAAUGUAAGGAAGUGUGUGGUUUCAGGGGGAAAUUUGUC